GAUGAACGCUGGCGGCGUGCCUAAUACAUGCAAGUCGAGCGAACAGACGAGGAGCUUGCUCCUCUGACGUUAGCGGCGGACGGGUGAGUAACACGUGGAUAACCUACCUAUAAGACUGGGAUAACUUCGGGAAACCGGAGCUAAUACCGGAUAAUAUAUUGAACCGCAUGGUUCAAUAGUGAAAGACGGUUUUGCUGUCACUUAUAGAUGGAUCCGCGCCGCAUUAGCUAGUUGGUAAGGUAACGGCUUACCAAGGCAACGAUGCGUAGCCGACCUGAGAGGGUGAUCGGCCACACUGGAACUGAGACACGGUCCAGACUCCUACGGGAGGCAGCAGUAGGGAAUCUUCCGCAAUGGGCGAAAGCCUGACGGAGCAACGCCGCGUGAGUGAUGAAGGUCUUCGGAUCGUAAAACUCUGUUAUUAGGGAAGAACAAAUGUGUAAGUAACUAUGCACGUCUCGACGGUACCUAAUCAGAAAGCCACGGCUAGCUACGUG
rnacentral:rRNA from 1 species